rnacentral:lncRNA from 1 species
GAUGAUUGGUAAGUGCUGUAGCUUUAUAUUUUUUGCUGUAGAAUUUAAUCUGUAGAUUUAUUUGCUGUAGCUUUCCUUGCUGUAGAUUUCUAAAGCACUAUUUUUUUGCUCUGGAAAUAAAGCUCUCUACAGCCAUAUUUUGAUUUUGCAGAGAUUAUUUUGCUGUGAGCUUUUUAAGGAAAGCAAAGCUCGAUUGGUUGAGAUAUAUAGCUGUAGACUAAAUUUUGGCUGUCCAGAGCAUCUACAGCCCCAACCAAUCAUCCCCAAAAUUAC